rnacentral:rRNA from 1 species
UGGGGAAUAUUGGGCAAUGGGGGAACCCUGACCCAGCAACGCCGCGUGAGGGAAGAAGGUUUUCGGAUCGUAAACCUCUGUCCUUGGUGAAGAGUAGAAGACGGUAGCCAAGGAGGAAGCCCCGGCUAACUACGUGCCAGCAGCCGCGGUAAUACGUAGGGGGCAAGCGUUGUCCGGAAUGAUUGGGCGUAAAGGGCGCGUAGGCGGCCUGGUAAGUCUGGAGUGAAAGUCCUGCUUUUAAGGUGGGAAUUGCUUUGGAUACUGCUGGGCUUGAGUGCAGGAGAGGUAAGUGGAAUUCUCAGUGUAGCGGUGAAAUGCGUAGAGAUUGGGAGGAACACCAGUGGCGAAGGCGACUUACUGGACUGUAACUGACGCUGAGGCGCGAAAGUGUGGGGAGCAAACAGGAUUAGAUACC